CAGAAUCAGACUAUGUGUGUACAGUUGAAAGCAAAAAAUAAAAAUAAAAUUAUGCUUAAUAAAAGUUAUCUAAGUAGAGAAUCAGAGCUUACUUCGGAACACCAUGAAGAAUAACACAAAUGUCUGGCCAUUUCUUUGUACGUAACCAGCAAGAAGAAUCAUCCACUCAAACAAGGCUAUGUGACAUGCCAUAGAGGUUUAAUGAGGCCAGCAUGUUUCCUGAAAACUUGUCUUGCAAAAGGUUUCCCUGUUUACAGUAUUUCUCUGCAUACUAAGGUAUUGCUCUGGCACAUUCAAAAGUGAACAAAGAGCUAGUUGUUAAUACAAAAAAAGCACCCCCCCUUUCCCAUGUUAUCUGAUACCUCGUGGCUAUAAGUGAUCUAAAGAUGUCUGGGUGCUGAAGCAAAUAAAUGGAAAGAAGCUGUUCUGACAUUUGUACUCAGACUUUUGAGUGGAAAGUUAAAUAAGUUCUGCUUCUUACAGCUUCUUAUAGAUAAGGAUCUGUAGUGGGCUCAUUUUCCCUUGGCCACUUUCCCACAUCCUAAUCCAGAUUUUGCUGUCAGGUAUAGUUACGCAUUUCCUUGACUCCUGAGACCAGCACUUGGGUGGGAUCUCUUCAUGGAUUUUAGAUACUGAAUCAUUUUUGUUGUUGUUGUAUGUAAAUGGGACCUGUGGAGAAUGAUGGUAAUCCUGGAGCUGCUUGGACUGAAAUAAGAAAGAGGCCAGCUCUUAAAAGCACUCAAGUGGCACAAAAGAAGAACAUAUGGCAACAGAACUGGAUUCCGGCUCACCUUGGCAAAAAACAGUUUAAUGGAAUGACGUCAUUGUGUAGAUUAAAG
rnacentral:lncRNA from 1 species